rnacentral:rRNA from 1 species
AAACUCACUGCCGAGCGAAAUACAACGAGCGGUGGUCAAGCUAACGCGUGAAGUUUCCCGCCUGGGGAUUACGCUUGCAAAAGUGAAACUCAAAGGAAUUGACGGGGACCCGCACAAGCGGUGGAGUAUGUGGUUUAAUUCGAUGCAACACGAAGAACCUUACCAGGGUUUGAAAUCAUUUCAAAACUCCUUGAAAGAGGAGCCUCCUUCGGGAUGAAAUGACAGGUGGUGCAUGGCUGUCGUCAGCUCGUGUUGUGAAAUGUCGAGUUAAGUCUCGUAACGAGCGCAACCCAUGUCUCUUGUUGCUCACUGAGUGCUUAAGAGAGACUGCCGACCAACAUCGGAGGAAGGUGUGGAUGAUGUCAAGUCAGCAUGCCCCUUACAUCCUGGGCUACACACGUACUACAAUGGUAGGGACAAUGAGCUGCGAUCCUGCGAAGGCUAGCCAAUCUCAAAAACCCUAUCUCAGUUCGGAUUGUACUCUGCAACUCGAGUACAUGAAGGUGGAAUCGCUAGUAAUCGCUGGUCAGCUAUACAGCGGUGAAUACGUUCCCGGGUCUUGUACACAC